GCACUGCUGAGGAGUCCCACAAUAGGAUGAAACGACCGUUCAGUGC
rfam:Schistosoma curassoni strain Dakar, Senegal genome assembly, scaffold: SCTD_scaffold0000027